rnacentral:rRNA from 1 species
UACGUAGGGUGCGAGCGUUGUCCGGAAUUAUUGGGCGUAAAGGGCUCGUAGGCGGUUUGUCGCGUCGGGAGUGAAUCCACUGGCUUAACUGGUGGCUUGCUUGAUACGGGCAGACUGGAGGUAUGCAGGGGAGAACGGAAUUCCUGGUGAGCGGUGAAAUGCGACGAUAUCAGGAGGAACACCGGUGGCGAAGGCGGUUCUCUGGGCAUGUCCUGACGCUGAGGAGCGAAAGUG